rnacentral:rRNA from 1 species
UACGUAGGGUGCAAGCGUUGUCCGGAAUUAUUGGGCGUAAAGAGCUCGUAGGCGGUCUGUCGCGUCAGCUGUGAAAACCCGGGGCUCAACCCCGGGCCUGCAGUCGAUACGGGCAGACUAGAGUGCGGUAGGGGAGACUGGAAUUCCUGGUGUAGCGGUGAAAUGCGCAGAUAUCAGGAGGAACACCGGUGGCGAAGGCGGGUCUCUGGGCCGUAACUGACGCUGAGGAGCGAAAGCGUGGGGAGCGAACAGG